UACGGGGGGGGCAAGCGUUGUUCGGAAUUACUGGGCGUAAAGGGUCUGUAGGUGGCCAACUAAGUCAGACGUGAAAUCCCUCAGCUUAACUGGGGAACUGCGUCUGAGACUGGAUGGCUUGAGUGCAGGAGAGGAACGCGGAAUUCCAGGUGUAGCGGUGAAAUGCGUAGAUAUCUGGAGGAACACCGGUGGCGAAGGCGGCGUUCUGGACUGCAACUGACACUGAGAGGCGAAAGCGUGGGGAGCAAACAGG
rnacentral:rRNA from 1 species